CGAACGGGUGAGUAAUGCGUGACCAACCUGCCCCAUGCUCCAGAAUAGCUCUUGGAAACGGGUGGUAAUGCUGGAUGCUCCAACUUGACGCAUGUCUUGUUGGGAAAGUGUUUAGUGGCAUGGGAUGGGGUCGCGUCCUAUCAGCUUGUAGGCGGGGUAAUGGCCCACCUAGGCUUCGACGGGUAGCCGGCCUGAGAGGGCGGACGGCCACAUUGGGACUGAGACACGGCCCAAACUCCUACGGGAGGCAGCAGGU
rnacentral:rRNA from 1 species